GAACGAACGCUGGCGGCAGGCUUAACACAUGCAAGUCGAACGCGUGUAGCAAUACACGAGUGGCGCACGGGUGAGUAACGCGUGGGAACGCGCCCUUUAGUUUGGAAUAACACCGGGAAACUGGUGCUAAUGCCAAAUACGCCCUUCGGGGGAAAGAUUUAUCGCUAAAGGAUCGGCCCGCGUCAGAUUAGCUAGUUGGUGGGGUAAUGGCCUACCAAGGCUCCGAUCUGUAGCUGUUCUGAGAGGAAGACCAGCCACACUGGAACUGAGACACGGUCCAGACUCCUACGGGAGGCAGCAGUGGGGAAUAUUGGACAAUGGGGGAAACCCUGAUCCAGCCAUGCCGCGUGAGUGAUGAAGGCCUUAGGGUUGUAAAGCUCUUUUACCAGGGAAGAUGAUGACGGUACCUGGAGAAUAAGCACCGGCUAACUUCGUGCCAGCAGCCGCGGUAAUACGAAGGGUGCUAGCGUUGUUCGGAAUCACUGGGCGUAAAGCGUGCGUAGGCGGCUUUGCAAGUCAGGGGUGAAAUCCCACAGCUCAACUGUGGAAUUGCCUUUGAAACUGCAUCGCUGGAGUGUCGGAGGGGAUAGCGGAAUUCCUAAUGUAGUGGUGAAAUACGUAGAUAUUAGGAGGAACACCGGUGGCGAAGGCGGCUAUCUGGACGACAACUGACGCUGAGGCACGAAAGCGUGGGGAUCAAACAGGAUUAGAUACCCUGGUAGUCCACGCUGUAAACGAUGGAUGCUAGCCGUCGGGAGGUUACCUCUCGGUGGCGCAGCUAACGCGCUAAGCAUCCCGCCUGGGGAGUACGGUCGCAAGAUUAAAACUCAAAGGAAUUGACGGGGACCCGCACAAGCGGUGGAACAUGUGGUUUAAUUCGAGGCAACGCGAAGAACCUUACCAGGCUUUGACAUGCCCUCUGUGGUUUCCAGAAAUGGAUUCCUUCACCUCGGGUGGGAGGAGCACAGGUGCUGCAUGGCUGUCGUCAGCUCGUGUCGUGAGAUGUUGGGUUAAGUCCCGCAACGAGCGCAACCCUUGCCAUUAGUUGCUACAUUCAGUUGGGCACUCUAAUGGGACUGCCGGUGACAAACCGGAGGAAGGUGGGGAUGACGUCAAGUCCUCAUGGCCCUUAUGGGUAGGGCUUCACACGUAAUACAAUGGCCGGUACAGAGGGCUGCCAACCCGCGAGGGGGAGCAAAUCCCAGAAAGCCGGUCGUAGUCCGGAUUGUUCUCUGCAACUCGAGAGCAUGAAGUCGGAAUCGCUAGUAAUCGCGGAUCAGCAACGCCGCGGUGAAUACGU
rnacentral:rRNA from 1 species